AUUGUGUUGCCAGUGAUAGAUUAUGACGCGUGUUUUGUAAUACAUACAGUACUGUAAAGUGAAACGAGGUCAUUUUGUUGUGUACUUUGGUCAAAGGAAGAGAAAGAUGGAGUCCCUUAGAAAAGGAAAAGGAGACUGAUGGGGUUUCGUUUUAAAGGAACUAGAGUCUGAAGCUAACCUGAUACAUACGAGAGUUCUGAGCAGAGAGAAAGUACUACUACAGAAAAAGAGAUCUUGCUAAAGCUCACCCGACGCGGUAUUUAAGUUUGAUUAUAAUUGGCACGGACCAGUCAAAGACCAACUUGCCACAUUUUGUAGGGAGAACAGCCAAGGUUUCUAAACGUCAUGUCAGUGGCAAAUAUUUCAUGCAUUUCCAAAAAAGAACAAGUUAACAACAAAGACAACAGGUAGGCCUUGAAAUAGUGGCCAUACAGGAUGAAGGUCGGGGAAAUUUGGUCUGCCACAGGAAAAUACGGGUAUAUUGAAUAGGGACAGAAAUUUUACACGAGGCAUCGGAUUGACGUCCCCAUUCCGAAGGGACGUGGCUUCAAACGUAUACAUCCCGCACAGCCAAAAUGAUAAAUAAUAAUUUAUAUGUGUUUACAUGCAUACGUAUAUGUUUAAGUCGACUUCUGUGGGUGUCUGGGACAUUCUUAAUACAAUGUAUCUUGAUAUUCAAAAAGCAACAUGGAUUUCAACCAAUAUUUUGUCUUUUCAUAAUAUCGAAGAUUAAUUCAGUUAUGUUACAAAUAUAGCAUAUACCAUACCACAUCAAGAAAGGGGGAAACAUUGCAACUACGAUGACAAAACAACUAAAAGCAACACGGUAAGGGAGGAAUAACACAUAUUAGUGUGUAUGUUCAUUGGACAUACUGUACUUGGCUGCUAAAGCAGUAUUAUAUAUACAAGCGCUACUUGAAAUUAUUUUAGUCAGCUACAGCUAUUAAGUGGACAACAAACUCCUGUUUUGACACAUCAAGUAAUGAAUGAGCAAGAUAAAUAAAAUAACAUGUUUAAAGUUUGAAUUAUAAUUUUUGCAGGGUGGAACGUUGCCUCCAGUAUUGUAUAUUCAAGCCGACAACUGCUGGCGGGAAAACAAAAAUAAAUCGUUUUGCGAGUAACUGGUGCACAUGAAAGUAUUUCAAGAGGUUCACCUUUCUUUUCUGUAUGUUGGACACACACAUGAGGAUAUUGACGCCGGUUUCAGCAAAAAAGCAGAUUCCCUCCGUCGAAAUGACACAGAAACAAUCCCUGAGCUUUUGGAUCUAUUACCAAAUCCAAGCAAUUUAAUUUGGCAAUACGACGUUAGGAACUGGCUUAAACCAUUUAUUGCUGAUGUACGGAAACAUACCAAGCCAUUACAUUAUAAAUUUACAAUGGCUGAAGUAUCUAAUAAGAUUAAACUGUGUUACAAAUCCAAUCAUGCUGGGCCUUGGAAGAUUUCAACAAGUGGAAUGUUCAUGUUUAACGAGAAAGGUGAAGUAGAAUUGCCAAAGGGUGUACCAAAAGUCUCCACGCCAGUUUUUGACAAAAUAUCUAUCGAAAAAAUUGAAAGUGGAAUUAAUGACUGGUAUGUCUCUUCACGGAUCAAAUAGAACAUCACCAAUAAUUUAAUUGGUGGAAGAGCCGGGUUAACUACAUGAAGAAAUUAAGAGAUGAUAAUCAAUUUAUGAAAAGUGAAAUCAUACAAAAGGCAGUUUGGUACUUUGAUAAAUUACCGAAAACUAGAGUGACACCAGACUGAUCGGAUGAUAACAACCCACCGAAGGAAAGA